CGCUACGGACUUAAAAUCCGUCGACUUUUAAAAUCGUGAGGGUUCAAGUCCCU
rnacentral:tRNA from 2 species